rnacentral:rRNA from 1 species
AAAUGAAUUGACGGGGGCCCGCACAAGCGGUGGAGCAUGUGGUUUAAUUCGAUGCAACGCGAAAAACCUUACCUACCCUUGACAUCCUUGGAAUCUUGUAGAGAUAUGAGAGUGCCUUCGGGAGCCAGGAGACAGGUGCUGCAUGGCUGUCGUCAGCUCGUGUCGUGAGAUGUUGGGUUAAGUCCCGUAACGAGCGCAACCCUUGUCCUUAGUUACUAACGCGUUAUGGCGAGGACUCUAGGGAGACUGCCGGUGAUAAACCGGAGGAAGGUGGGGAUGACGUCAAGUCAUCAUGGUCUUUAUGGGUAGGGCUACACACGUGCUACAAUGGGCAGUACAGAGGGUCGCCAAGUCGUGAGACGGAGCUAAUCUCUUAAAACUGUUCGUAGUCCGGAUUGGAGUCUGCAACUCGACUCCAUGAAGUUGGAAUCGCUAGUAAUCGCGAAUCAGCAUGUCGCGGUGAAUACGUUCUCGGGCCUUGUACACACCGCCCGU